rnacentral:lncRNA from 1 species
UUUCUUUUCAACAAAGUUGUUAUAUAAUUGGUUUUUUCUUCCCUAAUGGGGCGGGGCAUGGAAAUGGUAUACCCACCCCCGAUUCAACCCAUUGCCAUCCCUAAACGAACGAGAUAAAGCCAACCCUCCAUUACUUGAUUACAAUGCGACAUAAAUACCUGGAUUAUCAACAAAUCCACCUCUGUUGUUUCUAUUCCAUGCCUUUGAGGCAUUUUU